GAUGAACGCUGGCGGCGUGCCUAAUACAUGCAAGUCGAGCGAACAGACGAGGAGCUUGCUCCUCUGACGUUAGCGGCGGACGGGUGAGUAACACGUGGAUAACCUACCUAUAAGACUGGGAUAACUUCGGGAAACCGGAGCUAAUACCGGAUAAUAUAUUGAACCGCAUGGUUCAAUAGUGAAAGACGGUUUUGCUGUCACUUAUAGAUGGAUCCGCGCCGCAUUAGCUAGUUGGUAAGGUAACGGCUUACCAAGGCAACGAUGCGUAGCCGACCUGAGAGGAUGAUCGGCCACACUGGAACUGAGACACGGUCCAGACUCCUACGGGAGGCAGCAGUAGGGAAUCUUCCGCAAUGGGCGAAAGCCUGACGGAGCAGCGCCGCGUGAGUGAUGAAGGUCUUCGGAUCGUAAAACUCUGUUAUUAGGGAAGAACAAAUGUGUAAGUAACUAUGCACGUCUUGACGGUACCUAAUCAGAAAGCCACGGCUAACUACGUG
rnacentral:rRNA from 1 species